rnacentral:rRNA from 1 species
UCACACCAUGAGAGUUGGGAAUACCCGAAGCCUGUGAGCUAACUUUAGAGGCAGCAGUCGAAGGUAGAAUCAAUGAUUGGGGUGAAGUCGUAACAAGGUACC